GUUGCAUGGCAGAGGUUUACAUCGCACUUUUAAUGCGAUGGUCCCGGGUUCGAAUCCCGGACAACC
rnacentral:tRNA from 1 species